rnacentral:misc_RNA from 1 species
GAUGAAGAACGCAGCGAAAUGCGAUAAGUAAUGUGAAUUGCAGAAUUCAGUGAAUCAUCGAAUCUUUGAACGCACCUUGCGCCCUUUGGACUUCUGAAGGGCAUGCCUGUUUGAGUAUCAUGAACACCUCAACUCCUUAUGGUCUUCCAUGAUGAGCUUGGACUUUGGGGGUUUUGCUGGCCUACAGUCAGCUCCUCUAAAAUAAAUCAGCUUACCGGUGUUUGGUGGGUAUCAUGGGUGUGAUAACUAUCUACGCUCGUGGUUUUCCACCAGGUAACCUUCAGCAGUGGAGGUUCACUGGAGCUCAUAGAUGUCUCUCCUCAGCGAGGACAGCCCUUUGAAUGUUUGAUCUCAAAUCAGGUAGGACUACCCGCUGAACUUAAGCAUAUCAAUAAGCGGAGG